rnacentral:misc_RNA from 1 species
AAACUUUGUACCCCUUUUUACCAAAAUUGCGUGAACGGAGGAGUAUGAAAUUUCGCACACUUUUAGUUUACACAUAGAAGUAGUGCAGAAUGGUAUUUUUUUACCAUACAUUUGACACAAAUGCGUCAAUCAAAUUUAGAAUAGAUUAUAGACUAUAGAUUAAUAUUGUUUGUCUUUACUGAACGUCAAACAUAAUAAGUAAUAACUAAUAUAUUAGGUCCUUACAUAUGAAAUUUGCUUUUUGUCGUACUGGCCACUUUGAUCCCAAAUAUUUCCUCUUUGGUUAUGAAUUCCAAAUUCAAAGUUGACAAUGAAGAAUUGAAGAUUAUUGUGGAAGCGGAUCCAUCACAAACCACGUCCGAGUUAGCUGCAGGUGUUAGGGAUAAAACUGCUUUAAUCUACUUGAAGUUAAAAUAUGAAAGGUAAAAAAGUUUGAAAGGUGGGUACCUCAUGAAUUGAGUGAAGCAAACCGACAAACGCGCUUAGACUACUGCGUCACAUCUCUCAACCGGCACAAUAAUGAAGAAUUUUAAAUCGAAUCAUUACAUGUGAUGAAAAGUGGAUCAUGUACGAUAAUCGGGAGCGCUCAUCGCAAUGGCAGAACCCUGGCGAGCCACCCAAAUCCUGCCUCAAGCGAAAAUUGACUCAAAAAAGCUUACUUGUGAGCGUUUGGUGGAUUAGUGCCGGUGUCGUUCACUACUGCUUUCUUAAAUCUUGCCAGACGAUUACGGCAGAUGUCUAUUCUGCUAAACCGAGGCUAGUCAAUCGCUCUAGGCCACUGCUGCUUUAGGACAACGCUAGACCACACACUGCACAACAGACGGCUACCAAAUUAGAGGAGCUUCAAUUCAGAAGAUCAAACCGAUUACCAUUUUUUUCGAAAUUUGGAUAACUUCUUGCAAGGGAAAAAAUUUAACUCCGAUGGAGCAUUCCAAACCGCCUUCAAACAUUUUAUUGAUUCCCGUCCCGUCCCGUCGGUUUUUUUAGUACAGGUAUCAAUAAACUAUCUGUAAAAUUGCAAAAGUGCAUAGAUAGCAAUGAAAGCAAACAUACUUUGAUUAAUUAAAUAUAUUCUAUAUUUAAAAAAAAACGACUGUUUUUACUUACAUGAGUAAUUAUAAUUGAUUUGGUUAGACUAUUUCGACUUCCAUUUUGUGAUUUCUUUUGCACGUAACUGACGCCUAGGAUGAACGGUGUUCCAAGUUAAAAAAAUCAAUUUCCUGUGUAGCAAGUUUGUACAAUCAAACUUUUAACUUAAAAUAUUUAUAAUAAAAAUCUUCAUAUUAGUCACAGCCUAAACAACGACUUUAUGUUCCGAACAUGCAAAACGCCGAUUUUUAUAUGUAAGGACCUAAUAUAUGUGUUUAAACUUAUAAUUUAAAUUAAUUAUGGUGGAAUUUUGACCACUGGACGACCACUAGUUCAUAUUAAUGAAUAUAUAAAAACAUUAGUUACCUUUACCAACUCAAACCUGUUAUGUGUUAAAUGUAUAAGCUGUGUUACGAUUGAAGUAGUUUUUAACAACUUGUUUUUUUAAAGUAAAUAUUUAAAAAGCAUAGUAGAAUAAAAUAUACAACAACUAAAUCACAAUUUUUUUUUUCAGAUAAUGACGUCUGUAAUUUUAUUGUUUUUUCACGUACUACGAUUGAAGAUGUAGAAAAAACAUUGAUACAUAUAUUUGUUUACAUUUAACAUGUUAACAAUUUACGUUAAAUAAAUGAUAUUUUUUUGAAAACAUUA